AUUGAACGCUGGCGGCAUGCCUUACACAUGCAAGUCGAACGGCAGCACGGGAGCAAUCCUGGUGGCGAGUGGCAAACGGGUGAGUAAAGUAUCGGAACGUGCCCAGUCGUGGGGGAUAACGUAGCGAAAGUUACGCUAAUACCGCAUACGAUCUACGGAUGAAAGCGGGGGAUCGCAAGACCUCGCGCGAUUGGAGCGGCCGAUAUCAGAUUAGGUAGUUGGUGGGGUAAAGGCUCACCAAGCCGACGAUCUGUAGCUGGUCUGAGAGGACGACCAGCCACACUGGGACUGAGACACGGCCCAGACUCCUACGGGAGGCAGCAGUGGGGAACUUUGGACAAUGGGCGAAAGCCUGAUCCAGCCAUGCCGCGUGCAGGAUGAAGGCCUUCGGGUUGUAAACUGCUUUUGUACGGAACGAAAAGGUUUGGCCUAAUAAGCUGAGCUCAUGACGGUACCGUAAGAAUAAGCACCGGCUAACUACGUGCCAGCAGCCGCGGUAA
rnacentral:rRNA from 1 species